UACAGAGGGUGCGAGCGUUGUCCGGAAUCACUGGGCGUAAAGGGCGCGUAGGUGGCGACCCAAGUCGAUGUGAAAGCUCGCCGCUCAACGGCGAGUCGGCCACCGAUACUGGGUUGCUUGAGCACUGUAGAGGCUAAUGGAAUUCCGGGUGUAGCGGUGGAAUGCGUAGAGAUCCGGAAGAACACCGGUGGCGAAGGCGGUUAGCUGGGCAGUUGCUGACACUGAGGCGCGACAGCGUGGGGAGCAAACAGG
rnacentral:rRNA from 1 species